rnacentral:rRNA from 1 species
GACGAACGCUGGCGGCGUGCCUAAUACAUGCAAGUCGAACGCAGUGGGGACGGGUGAGUAACACGUGGGUAACCUCCCAUCAGAGGGGAUAACACUUGGAAACAGGUGCUAAACCGAUACUGAUUGAUGGACCCGCGGUGCAUUAGCUAGUUGGUGAGGUAACGGCUCACCAAGGCCACGAUGCAUAGGCGACCUGAGAGUGUGAUCAGUCACACUGGAACUGAGACACGGUCCAGACUCCUACGGGAGGCAGCAGUGGGGAAUAUUGGACAAUGGGCGAAAGCCUGAUCCAGCCAUGCCGCGAGUGUGAAGAAGGUCUUCGGAUUGUAAAGCACUUUAAGUGAGGAGGCGUUACCCGCAGAAGAAGCACAGGCUAACUCCGUGCCAGCAGCCGCGGUAAGAA